rnacentral:rRNA from 1 species
AGAACGAACGCUGGCGGCAGGCUUAACACAUGCAAGUCGAACGGUUGUAGCAAUACAGCAGUGGCAGACGGGUGAGUAACACGUGGGAACCUUCCUAGGGGUACGGAACAACCCAGGGAAACUUGAACUAAUACCGUAUACGUCCGUGAGGAGAAAGUUUUAACGCCCCUAGACGGGCCCGCGUAGGAUUAGGUAGUUGGUGAGGUAACGGCUCACCAAGCCUACGAUCCUUAGCUGAUCUGAGAGGAUGAUCAGCCACACUGGGACUGAGACACGGCCCAGACCCCUACGGGAGGCAGCAGUGGGGAAUCUGGACAAUGGGCGCAAGCCUGAUCCAGCCAUGCCGCGUGAGUGAAGAAGGCCUUCGGGUUGUAAAGCUCUUUUACCAGGACGAUAAUGACGGUACUGGAGAAUAAGCCCGGCAAACUCGUGCCAACAGCCGC